AUUGAACGCUAGCGGCAUGCCUAACACAUGCAAGUCGAACGGAGUGGCGGACGGGUGAGUAAUGUAUCGGAAUGUGCCCAGUAGCGGGGGAUAACGACGAGAAAGGGUAGCUAAUACUGCAUACUAUUGGAGCGGCCGGUAUCGGAUUAGCUAGAUGGUGGGGUAAGGGCUUACCAAGGCGACGACCCGUAGCUGGUUUGAGAGGAGGACCAGCCACACUGGGACUGAGACACGGCCCAGACUCCUACGGGAGGCAGCAGUGGGGAAUUUUGGACAAUGGGCGAAAGCCUGAUCCAGCCAUGCCGCGUGUGCGAAGAAGGCCUUCGGGUUGUAAAGAACUUUUGGCGGGGAAGCGUUACCUGCAGAAUAAGCACCGGCUAACUACGUGCCAGCAGCCGCGGUAAUUC
rnacentral:rRNA from 1 species